rnacentral:rRNA from 1 species
UACAGAGGUCUCAAGCGUUGUUCGGAUUCAUUGGGCGUAAAGGGUGCGUAGGCGGCGCGGUAAGUCGGGUGUGAAAUCUCGGGGCUUAACUCCGAAACUGCAUUCGAUACUGCCGUGCUUGAGGACUGGAGAGGAGACUGGAAUUUACGGUGUAGCGGUGAAAUGCGUAGAUAUGACAUAGAACACCGAUAGCGAAGGCAGCUUGCUACACAAUUAUUGACACUGAGGCACGAAAGCGUGGGGAUCAAACAGG